rnacentral:rRNA from 1 species
AUUGAACGCUGGCGGCAUGCCUUACACAUGCAAGUCGAACGGCAGCACGGGAGCAAUUCUGGUGGCGAGUGGCGAACGGGUGAGUAAAGUAUCGGAACGUGCCCAGUCGUGGGGGAUAACGUAGCGAAAGUUACGCUAAUACCGCAUACGAUCUAUGGAUGAAAGCGGGGGAUCGCAAGACCUCGCGCGAUUGGAGCGGCCGAUAUAAGAUUAGGUAGUUGGUGGGGUAAAGGCUCACCAAGCCGACGAUCUGUAGCUGGUCUGAGAGGACGGCCAGCCACACUGGGACUGAGACACGGCCCAGACUCCUACGGGAGGCAGCAGUGGGGAAUUUUGGACAAUGGGCGAAAGCCUGAUCCAGCCAUGCCGCGUGCAGGAUGAAGGCCUUCGGGUUGUAAACUGCUUUUGUACGGAACGAAAAGGUUUGGCCUAAUAAGCUGAGCUCAUGACGGUACCGUAAGAAUAAGCACCGGCUAACUACGUGCCAGCAGCCGCGGUAA